CCUACGGGGGACAGCAGUAGGGAAUAUUGCUCAAUGGGGGAAACCCUGAAGCAGCAACGCCGCGUGGAGGAUGAAGGUUUUCGGAUUGUAAACUCCUUUUGUUAGAGAAGAUAAUGACGGUAUCUAACGAAUAAGCACCGGCUAACUCCGUGCCAGCAGCCGCGGUAAUACGGAGGGUGCAAGCGUUACUCGGAAUCACUGGGCGUAAAGGGCGCGUAGGCGGGAUAGCAAGUCAGAUGUGAAAUCCUAUGGCUUAACCAUAGAACUGCAUUUGAAACUGUUAUUCUAGAGUAUGGAAGAGGUAGGUGGAAUGCUUGGUGUAGGGGUAAAAUCCGUAGAGAUCAAGAGGAAUACUCAUUGCGAAGGCGACCUGCUAGAACAUAACUGACGCUGAUGCGCGAAAGCGUGGGGAGCAAACAGGAUUAGAUACCCUUGUAGUC
rnacentral:rRNA from 1 species